rnacentral:lncRNA from 1 species
UUUUUUUUUAAAUCUAUUAUGUUUCCAGGAUAAACGCAAAAUAUUAAAAGCCGCUGCCGUAAAUCUUCACUUUGAAAAAUUCAAAACACCACUCUCUAUCUGUAAGAGAACAACAGGUCUCAGUAAAAAAUAAAUAAAUGCAGUGUUUUAAGUUCAUUUAGACACCAGAUUAAAAACGCUCAAUUCUCUGGUUUUGUUGGAUUGAUACACACCUUCAAAAAUUUGAAGGCUGAAAUUUCAUUGGCUGAUGUAAUAUAUACAAGGACAGAAAAUAAAAUGACGUGUUGUCAGAUCUUGUAUCCAAAGCUUAAACAGAUGAUCUGUACAUUAUAUAUUAAUAAAUAAAUGUGUUAGACACCGACUCUAGUUUGAGGGAAGGAGC